rnacentral:rRNA from 1 species
GACGAACGCUGGCGGCAUGCCUAAUACAUGCAAGUCGAGCGAACAGAUGAAGUGCUUGCACUUCUGACGUUAGCGGCGAACGGGUGAGUAACACGUAAGGAAUCUACCUAUAAGCGGGGGAUAACAUUCGGAAACGGGUGCUAAUACCGCAUAAAAUCUUCUUCCGCAUGGAAGAAGAUUGAAAGACGGCUCUGCUGUCACUUAUAGAUGACCUUGCGGUGCAUUAGUUAGUUGGUGGGGUAACGGCCUACCAAGACGAUGAUGCAUAGCCGACCUGAGAGGGUGAUCGGCCACAUUGGGACUGAGACACGGCCCAAACUCCUACGGGAGGCAGCAGUAGGGAAUCUUCCGCAAUGGGCGAAAGCCUGACGGAGCAAUGCCGCGUGAGUGAAGGAGGCCUUCGGGUCGUAAAACUCUGUUAUAAGAGAAGAACAAAUUGUAGAGUAACUGCUACAGUCUUGACGGUAUCUUAUCAGAAAGCCACGGCUAACUACGUGCCAGCAGCCGCUGUAA